GGAUAAGGGGUUUCCAGAGGGGAAACUGGAAAAGAGGGUAACAUUUGAAAUGCAGAUAAAGAAAGUAUCCAAGAAAAGAAAAGAAAAUGAUUAAAUAGAAAACAAAAACAAAACAAGCACAGGGAGGCUUGUUCUAAAACCCAGUGUGGACAACUUGGUCAUCUUAGCACUAGGACUAAUGCACCAAUUCUUAGGUUUAGCCUUCCACUCAGGUUCCAGGAAAUUUGAGCAGUUUCUACAUAAGCAAAUAUUUGCUGCCUGACUUCUUCUAGCAUUGUCUUCUGCUAGCAUUUCGUAAACUGCUGGAGUUAAGCAUCACUGAUCAAUACAAACACAGCCCCUGCCCUAAAGCGGUGUGUAAUGUCCUGGUCCUCUGUCUUCUGCUCUCUAUGGUAUAGGUGUUGUACUGCACACCUGAAUCAUUGUGUGUAAAAGUUUUUAUUUUCAUGUCUAUCAACUUUAUAAAAUAAUGAGGUCUUAAUGACCAAGAGUAAUAUGUUUUACAAUAAAUCUCUAAGUUAAAAUGAAAAGAAAAUAAAUAAAGUCAUGUUGGGAGUGAAAGAAGCAGGAUAUAUGAAUGAUUUCAUAGAGUAAUGUAGAUAAUGGGAUGAUAUGCUGUUUGACUAAGCAUUUUGAAAAACUCAAUUUUGUGGACUAGGGUGAUGUUAUUUGCAUCCUUACAUCUCUCUAAGCUAACUAGAUACCCUAUGUUGCUAUUGUAGCCUUUAUUGCUAGAUUAUCAGGUUUUAUAUGUUGUUUAUUUUCAUUUAAAACCUAGAACACCUUCUAACAUUUUAUGAACCAUUUCAUUUUAUGGAUCUAUAAAACUCAAUACAUUGGUGUGGUUUUUUGUUUUUUUUUUGUUUUUGUUUUUUUUUAAAUGAACUCACAUGAUGAGGAUGUUGGCUUACAAACUAUGUGUCAAUGUACGUACAAUUUCAAGAGAAUAAUGCAGUUCACAAUUAGAUAUGUGUAGACGGGUAUGGCAUGAAAAAUAAUUUAUGAUAAGAUGUCUACUGACAUUCAUGUAAAUUUUUCAAAUAAAAUAUAACAUUUUAUAUAUUACUCUUCUCAAAAAUUGUAUUAUCUACCUUUCCAGUCCUUCUACCCUAUUCUUCGUAUCUAACCUGUUAGAAGGAAACCAGAUUAUUUUAUCUUCUAUAUUUCUUUCCUAUCACAAUAAGGAAAUAAUGAAAAUAUUGUUGUUUGGCAUGUGUGCUACUCUUAGCAUCAAACUAUAAGGUAAUUAACAAUAACUUCAUUAUUUCCUUUCAAUUAAUUUAUAUGUAUUGAUACAGAGAAACUUAAGGGUCCUAGCUCUUCUUUGCAUGCGCGCGCACACACACACACACACACACACACACACACGUAACAUUUAUUUGUAUAUUAUGCGUAUACAUGUUAUAUGUAUAUAUUAUAUGUACAUAUAUGUUAUGUAAUAUAUAUUAAUACUAUAUAACAUGUGUGUAUAUAUACUCUUCUUUGCAGAUAUUUUCCUUAAGUCUAGUUAUCAUUUGGUCUUCUUCCACUCUAAGAGAAAGGGAAGAAGUGCUGUUCAUUGCCCACAUUGUUAUUUACAUGCAUACAGCACAUAUGACCAGUGCCACCGUGCCAGUGCUACUUUCAGUGUCUCUGGAUAAAAAGCUCUGGUGAUCAAUGGACUAAGAAGAUAGAAGCUAACUUCACUAGCAUGCACCUCUCAUGAAAAAAAAAUGUAUCUCUGUUUUAUUGAAAAUACAGAAAUAUUUUUAAUCUUAACAGAAAAUCUGUAAAAUACUUAAAAUCUAUAAUUCAGUAAAAUUGUGUAUGGAGCAAUGAAGAUUUGUGGUAUUUUAAUGACUAUUUGGUAUAUUUUAGAAGUGAGAACAGGGUGAAUUAUAAAUCAUAAGAAAGGCAUAGACUAUUACCUCAUCUACCUCUUGCAAGCUGGAAAUGUGAAGAAGAAACUUUAUGCCACUGAGGAUAGAGUUGGCUCUUCUUUCCAGGGUUAUCAGAGAGCUCAGAAAGACCAGAAUAACAAAGCAAGACUGUGGUACUUUAUAAACUAACAGGCGUUUUUGUUUUGUUUUGUUUUUUAAUUUUACUGGAAUUCCUAUUUUUUUUUUCUGGCUUCUAUCCUGAGGGAGAUUUUUAGUGUGUCCACCUGCAUUGAUUUAAUUCUGCUUGUGAAUCUGCUGCAUUUCCAGAAGUUCACAAAAGGUUUUUAUAUUUAUCUACCAUAUUAGAGGUUAGUGCAGGAUAUUUCAUUUUAUCUGUGUUGCAAUUAUGUCCUUUAUCAUGCGUGCUUUAGAAUGUAAUAAUCUCCAGUUGACAGUCUGUUACCGUGUGCUCCUUAGGGUUUCUGUAUGUGAUUCUGAAGGUUUAGAAUCAUCCGUGCCCUUAGCUAUGACUUUAAUUAACCCUUAUAUUUUUCUGAAUUACUUAUCCACAUGUUGUGUUAUUGAGACAUUAAUCAUUUCAGAAUCAUACUCUAAUUCCUCUUUGAAACUAUAUCAACAGUAACAAUAGGACUUUUCUGUAUCAAUAUCUUCUCCUUAGAUAACCCUUGUUCUUAACUCUGGGAUACAUUUAUCCCAUUUUAACCAGUGCUGUCUAAGUAGACACAUGUAUCAAUGGACAGCUGAUAUGGAGACAGUGAGGCUUUUUCAACCCUUGAAUUUCCAAAUCCACUGAGAAAAUAUUUUGGAGGGUCUGCUGCACAGACUUUGCUACACACACACACACACACACACACACACACGGAACUGUUGUUUGUACAUGUUAAUUCAGAAAACAUUAAAUAGAGUAAAUGCCUCCAGUAGUUAGGACCCUCUCUCCAGAAAGCCCCCUAGCAGUUCAGACAUAACAAUGUAGGCUCCAGUAGUUUAAGCAUUGCUGGCAUUGCUAAGGAAUUAAAGUGUUUUGGAGCCAAGAUAGUGCUUCAUGCAACUAAAGGUCCACAGACAAAGCGGGCUGACUCUUCAAAUAAGAAGGAGAAGGACCGGUAUAUAUUUUCAAAUGAAGGAUACUAACUCAGCUAACGACUGCUUUUCUACUAACUUCACACAGUAUGCUUCCUGGCUUGGCACACACACAUUUGGGUAUUUAAUGUUAAGGUUGUAAACAAGGUGACAUCAGCCAAAGGCAGAGAGCAGAAUAACCAGCCAGUACAGUAAUUAGUCUGUGAUCGUUCAGGACAGCAAUGAUAGUGUCAGGUAAUGGAGUUAAUGUUCUUAAGGAGCUCAGUCUAACAAACAAACAAGC
rnacentral:lncRNA from 1 species